AGGAUAAACGCUGGCGGCGUGCCUAACACAUGCAAGUCGAACGUCCUACGCAAGUAGGGAGUGGCGGACGGGUGAGUAACACGUGGGCAAUCUACCUUUCGGUGAGGAAUACCGGCGAGAAAUCGCCGACAAUACCGCAUACGCUUCGCAAGAAGCAAAGUCGCAAGACGCCGGAGGAGGAGCCUGCGCCCGAUUAGCUCGUUGGUGGAGUAAUGGUCUACCAAGGCGACGAUCGGUAGCUGGUCUGAGAGGAUGAUCAGCCACACUGGGAUUGAGAACGGCCCAGACUCCUACGGGGGGCAGCAGUGAGGAAUUUUGCGCAAUGGGGGAAACCCUGACGCAGCAACGCCGCGUGGAGGAUGAAGCCCCUUGGGGCGUAAACUCCUUUCGAUCGGGAAGAUAAUGACGGUACCGGAAGAAGAAGCCCCGGCUAACUUCGUGCCAGCAGCCGC
rnacentral:rRNA from 1 species